rnacentral:rRNA from 1 species
GAUGAACGCUGGCGGCGUGCCUAACACAUGCAAGUCGAGCGAACAGACGAGGAGCUUGCUCCUCUGACGUUAGCGGCGGACGGGUGAGUAAUACGUGGAUAACCUACCUAUAAGACUGGGAUAACUUCGGGAAACCGGAGCUAAUACCGGAUAAUAUAUUGAACCGGAUGGUUCAAUAGUGAAAGACGGUUUUGCUGUCACUUAUAGAUGGAUCCGCGCCGCAUUAGCUAGUUGGUAAGGUAACGGCUUACCAAGGCAACGAUGCGUAGCCGACCUGAGAGGGUGAUCGGCCACACUGGAACUGAGACACGGUCCAGACUCCUACGGGAGGCAGCAGUAGGGAAUCUUCCGCAAUGGGCGAAAGCCUGACGGAGCAACGCCGCGUGAGUGAUGAAGGUCUUCGGAUCGUAAAGCUCUGUUAUUAGGGAAGAACAAAUGUGUAAGUAACUAUGCACGUCUUGACGGUACCUAAUCAGAAAGCCACGGCUAACUACGUG